rnacentral:tRNA from 1 species
GGACGGGUGCUCGAUGGUAGAGCAUGUGCUUAGCACGCAUGAGAUUCUGGGUUCAAUCCCCAGUACGUCCA